rnacentral:rRNA from 1 species
UGAUGCGCGCUAUCUGCAGUCGAGCGGACAGAAGGGAGCUUGCUCCCGGAUGUUAGCGGCGGACGGGUGAGUAACACGUGGGUAACCUGCCUGUAAGACUGGGAUAACUCCGGGAAACCGGAGCUAAUACCGGAUAGUUCCUUGAACCGCAUGGUUCAAGGAUGAAAGACGGUUUCGGCUGUCACUUACAGAUGGACCCGCGGCGCAUUAGCUAGUUGGUGAGGUAACGGCUCACCAAGGCGACGAUGCGUAGCCGACCUGAGAGGGUGAUCGGCCACACUGGGACUGAGACACGGCCCAGACUCCUACGGGAGGCAGCAGUAGGGAAUCUUCCGCAAUGGACGAAAGUCUGACGGAGCAACGCCGCGUGAGUGAUGAAGGUUUUCGGAUCGUAAAGCUCUGUUGUUAGGGAAGAACAAGUGCAAGAGUAACUGCUUGCACCUUGACGGUACCUAACCAGAAAGCCACGGCUAACUACGUGCCAGCAGCCGCGGUAAUACGUAGGUGGCAAGCGUUGUCCGGAAUUAUUGGGCGUAAAGGGCUCGCAGGCGGUUUCUUAAGUCUGAUGUGAAAGCCCCCGGCUCAACCGGGGAGGGUCAUUGGAAACUGGGAAACUUGAGUGCAGAAGAGGAGAGUGGAAUUCCACGUGUAGCGGUGAAAUGCGUAGAGAUGUGGAGGAACACCAGUGGCGAAAGGCGACUCUCUGGUCUGUAACUGACGCUGAGGAGCGAAAGCGUGGGGAGCGAACAGGAUUAGAUACCCUGGUAGUCCACGCCGUAAACGAUGAGUGCUAAGUGUUAUGGGGUUUCCGCCCCUUAGUGCUGCAGCUAACGCAUUAAGCACUCCGCCUGGGGAGUACGGUCGCAAGACUGAAACUCAAAGGAAUUGACGGGGGCCCGCACAAGCGGUGGAGCAUGGUGGUUUAAUUCGAAGCAACGCGAAGAACCUUACCAAGGUCUUGAACAU